rnacentral:rRNA from 1 species
UACGAAGGGUGCAAGCGUUACUCGGAAUUACUGGGCGUAAAGCGUGCGUAGGUGGUUUGUUAAGUCUGUUGUGAAAGCCCCGGGCUCAACCUGGGAAUGGCAAUGGAUACUGGCAAGCUAGAGUGCGGUAGAGGAGAGUGGAAUUCCCGGUGUAGCGGUGGAAUGCGCAGAUAUCGGGAAGAACACCCGUGGCGAAGGCGGCUCUCUGGGACGGUACUGACGCUGAGACGCGAAAGCGUGGGGAGCGAACAGG